rnacentral:rRNA from 1 species
UGGGGAAUAUUGGACAAUGGGCGAAAGCCUGAUCCAGCAAUGCCGCGUGAGUGAAGAAGGCCUUCGGGUUGUAAAGCUCUUUUGUCAGGGAAGAAACGGUAGUAGCGAAUAACUAUUACUAAUGACGGUACCUGAAGAAUAAGCACCGGCUAACUACGUGCCAGCAGCCGCGGUAAUACGUAGGGUGCAAGCGUUAAUCGGAAUUACUGGGCGUAAAGCGUGCGCAGGCGGUUGUGUAAGUCAGAUGUGAAAUCCCCGGGCUCAACCUGGGAAUUGCAUUUGAGACUGCACGGCUAGAGUGUGUCAGAGGGGGGUAGAAUUCCACGUGUAGCAGUGAAAUGCGUAGAUAUGUGGAGGAAUACCGAUGGCGAAGGCAGCCCCCUGGGAUAACACUGACGCUCAUGCACGAAAGCGUGGGGAGCAAACAGGAUUAGAUACCCCAGUAGUCCCUGAGCGGGCUGGCAAGGCGCAU